rnacentral:pre_miRNA from 1 species
UUAGCUCAUCUUUGUAUGGAAUGGGAUCGUUUGCGUACGUUUGCCGCUAGGGGCGCUGUUCCAACUGCAUACAAAAUUGGGUUA